GACGGAGGGUGCUAGCGUUGUUCGGAAUCACUGGGCGUAAAGGGCGCGUAGGCGGCUUUGGCAGUCGGCUCGUGAAAGCCCGGGGCUCAACCCCGGAGGUGCGGCCGAUACACCGAGGCUUGAGGCCGGAAGAGGAGGGUGGAAUACCCAGUGUAGAGGUGAAAUUCGUAGAUAUUGGGUGGAACACCGGUGGCGAAAGCGGCUCUCUGGUCCGGUCCUGACGCUGAGGCGCGAAAGCGUGGGGAGCAAA
rnacentral:rRNA from 1 species